CGGAUUCUGGUAAUUAUACCAUCCGGUGAAUGGCUGGGCUCAAGAGCCGAUGAAGGACGUGCCAAGCUGCGAAAAGCCUCGGCGAGGUGCAUGGAGCCUUUGAACCGAGGAUUUCCUAAUAGGACAUCCAAACACAUCUGUGUUGAUCAGUCAUGAUCGGGAACGCCCCGAACUGAAACAUCUUAGUAGGGGCAGGAAAAGAAAUCAAUUGAGAUGCCGUAAGUAACGGCGAGUGAAACCGGUAGAGUUCAAACUGAAUCCCUCCGGAAACGGAAGGGACAUGUGGUGUUAUAAGCCCGGUCAAUUACAGUCCCAGUCGAUGAAGUCGAACUUGUCUGGAACGUCAGACCAUAGAGUGUGAAAGUCACGUAGACGUAAAUCGAGGGAUUGUGACCGGUGUCUUGAGUACCGUGGGUCGGAAAUCCCGCGGGAAUUUGGGAGGCAUCAACUUCCAAAACUAAAUACAUCUUGAGACCGAUAGCGUAAUAGUAGGGUGACCGAAAGCUGAAAAGUACCCCAAGAAGGGAGGUGCAAAGUGCCUGAAAUCGGAUGGUGAUAGAGCGAUAUAGCGUGAAAGGAUCUGCACCAUGAAGGAAUCAGUCGCGAGGCUGUAGUACGAAUGGUGUUGCCGGCGUUAUAUCAUACGUUUUGAAGAACGGGCCAGGGAGUGUAUUCAAGUGGCGAGGUUAACAAAUUAAAUUUGGUUAGCCUAAGCGAAAGCAACAAGCGCACAACCUUCGGGUGAGGCGCGGCGUAUACAAGUGCGUGGAGUCACUAGGAUACUACCCGAAUCCUAGCGAUCUAGGCGUGGGCAGGCUGAAGCGUGGGGAAACCUACGUGGAGGGCCGCAAGCGGUAUUGAUCUGCAAAUCAUUCGCGUGACCUGUGUCUAGGGGUGAAAGGCCAAUCGAGCUAGGUUAUAGCUGGUUCCUUCCGAAACAUGUCGCAGCAUGGCCUGACUGGAGAUAGUCGGCGGAGUAGAGCACUGAAUGGGGAACCCGGGGAAGAAAUUCCUCGAUCCCCUCUCAAACUCCAAAACCGCCGUCGUCGUAGAAAGUCGGAGUCCGGGCUACGGGGUAAGCCUGUAGUCCGUGAGGGAGACAACCCAGACCAUGGUUAAGGUCCCCAAGUGUCGGCUAAGUGUCAACACUAAAGGGUGUCCUAAGCCCAAGACAGCUGGAAGGUGAGCUUAGAAGCAGCUAUCCUCUAAGGAGUGCGUAACAGCCCACCAGUCGAGGUUUAGGGCCCCGAAAAUGGACGGGGCUCAAGCCGACCACCGAUACCAUGGAACACAGCAAUGUGAUUUUAUAGGAAGGCAAUCCGUUUGGGCAGAAGUAGGGCCGUGAGGUCCUGUGGACCAUUCGGAUAUGAAAAUCCUGGCAGUAGUAACAGCAAAGUCGGGUGAGAAUCCCGAUCGCCGAAGGGGCUAGGUUUCCUCGGCAAUGAUCGUCAGCCGAGGGUUAGUCGAUCCUAAGAUGUACCGUAAGUCGAGUACAUCGAAAGGGAAACAGGUUAAUAUUCCUGUACCGUUUUGGCAAUUAAACUGACGCAUCCGGGUAGGUUGAGCAGUCAUAUGUCAGGCUGUCUAAGCACCGAAACUUGUGGAGAGCCGUAAUGGUGAGAAGCAAGUGAAUGUGUAAUGGCGAAAGUCAACUUAUCCCAGGUGACCGUGAAAAGGGAGCCAAAAUGAUCGUACCGAGAACUGACACAGGUGCCCCUAGCUGAAAAGGCUAAGGCGUGUCGGAAUUACACUGGCUAAGGGAAUUCGGCAAAUUAGCUCCGUAACUUCGGAAGAAGGAGUGCCUGCCGUGAAGACGGCAGGUCGCAGUGACCAGGGAGCUCUAACUGUUUAAUACAAACAUAGCUGACCGCAACUCCGAAAGGACUAGUACGGUCAGUGAAUCCUGCCCAGUGCAGGUACCUGAAAACCCGGUUCAACGGGGCGAAGGGCCUGUCAACGGCGGGGGUAACUAUGACCCUCUUAAGGUAGCGUAGUACCUUGCCGCUUAAUUGGCGGCUUGCAUGAAUGGAUCAAUGAGAGCUCUACUGUCCCUAGCCAGAAUCCGGUGAACUUUACAUUCUAGUGCAGAGUCUAGAGACCUCUAGGGGGAAGUGAAGACCCCGUAGAGCUUUACUGCAGCCUGCAGUUGGGUUGUGAUUUUGGAUGUACAGUAUAGGUAGGAGGCAUCGAAACCCCGGCGCCAGCCGGGGUGGAGCCGCCAAUGGGAUACUACCCUUUCAAGAUUACGGCCCUAACUCAGAGAUGAGGACCCCUGUAGGUGGGCAGUUUGGGUGGGGCGCCACGCCCUUGAAAAGAUAUCAAGGGCGCCCAAAGGUUGACUCAAGUGGGUCGGAAACCCACUGAAGAGUGCAAGAGCAUAAGUCAGCCUUACGUGAUUUCGCAAAGCAAGGAAUCGCGAGACGAAAGUCGGGUCUAGCGAACCAAUGUACCUCCUUGAUGGGGGUCAUUGACUACAGAAAAGCUACCUCAGGGAUAACAGAGUCGUUUCCGGCAAGAGCACAUAUCGACCCGGAAGCUUGCUACCUCGAUGUCGGUUCUUUCCAUCCUGGCCGUGCAGCAGCGGCCAAGGGUGAGGUUGUUCGCCUAUUAAAGGAGAUCGUGAGCUGGGUUUAGACCGUCGUGAGACAGGUCGGUUACUAUCUACUAGAGGUGUUCGUUGUCUGAAGGAAAGUUGCAUUCAGUACGAGAGGAACUAUGCAACGGUGCCACUGGUCGAUCGGUUGUCCGGCAGGGCAAUGCCGAGCAGCUACGCACCAAGGGAUAAGGGCUGAAAGCAUCUAAGCCCGAAACCCAUCCUGAAAAGAGACAACAUUAAGGACACUCAUAAAAGAUGAGGUUGAUAGAGUCGGGAUGUACGCACCAAGGCAACGAGGUGUUUAGUCCGCGGCUACUAAUAGUCCGUACCACUCCUG
rnacentral:rRNA from 1 species